ACGAUUAUACCAGCACUAAUGCACCGAAUCCCAUCAGAACUCUAUAGUUAAGCGUGCUUGGGUUAGAGUGGUACUACGAUGGGUGACCCCAUGGGAAGUCCUUGUGUAGCACUCU